CUCACACCUCUGGUAAUGGCCCAUGUUCUUGUGUAUUUUUUUUUUUUUUUUCAGAUUCUGGCUGCAAACUCCUGGAGGAUGUGGUUGAAAAGACCAUCAAUUCCGACAUAUCUAUACCUGAGUACAAAGAGCUUCUUCAAGAAUUCACAGACAGCGAGGCCGCCGCGGAGGCUAUGGGGAAGUUCAAGCAGUGCUUCCUCAGCCAGUCACAUAGAACUCUGACAAACUUCGGACUGAUGAUG